rnacentral:rRNA from 1 species
UACGGAGGGGGCGAGCGUUAUUCGGAAUUAUUGGGCGUAAAGGGUGCGUAGGCGGCCUUGUAAGUCAGUGGUGAAAUACUCCAGCUUAACUGGAGGGGUGCCAAUGAUACUGCAGGGCUUGAGUACAGAUGAGGUAGGCGGAAUUGACGGUGUAGCGGUGAAAUGCAUAGAUAUCGUCAAGAACACCGAUAGCGAAGGCAGCUUACUGGGCUGUAACUGACGCUGAGGCACGAAAGUGUGGGGAUCAAACAGG